CCAAGAGGAAGGUAGUCUAAAGUCGCCGCGUAUUGCGACAACGACUGCAUGAUCAGCAUCCUGCUGG
rnacentral:sRNA from 1 species